rnacentral:lncRNA from 1 species
GACAAAAUUGUGGGGAUAGUAGUGGGCGGAGUGGCUUUUGUGUUAGUCGUGAUCAUCACUGGCAUAUGUAUUCAUAAGCACUCAGCAAACAAACGGCAGGCGAACCCAGACAAAGAGAAUGCAGUUGCUGUACCUGCCGAAAACCAGUACAGCGAGACGCAAAUGAAUGACAUCAAGUAUCAGCAAGAACAAGAGGAAAAUCAGAAAAAGAACGUAGAAGGCCUCAAUUAUGCUGACCUCGAUCUAGGUCACGUAGCAAAAACACAGCCAGCAGGUGGGGGUGGCCGCAACAACCUCGUGUUUGAUGAAGACUCCAGGACCGAGUACGCCGAAGUCAGGAAAGCGUGAUCAGUCCUCUUUAAGUAAAAACUUAGAAGCUGUUUUUGACAGAUAUGUUUGUCAGCAUGUGGUAUGUGUUGUAUCAUACAGUAACUGAAGAUAAUGCGGUUCGGGUAAGGCCAUGAAGUAUUUAGAAUAGUAUUUAGUAUUUAGGGACCGACAAAUUCAUCAAUUGGGAAUGAUUCUAAUGAGGCAGUCAACAAAGUCUGUAUUUAUUGACGCCAGUGAUUCUUCGUUAUCGCACUCAAAUUAUAAUUUCUUACAUACAUACUGCUUUAUUCUGAUCCCUUUAAGUGAGACGUUAAGAUUAGACUGUUGUAUUUUUUUAAUCUUAAGUAUAGUCGGUUCGUGUGUGUAGUGUUAUGUCUGUUGCUAGCCUACCGGUGACAUUCCCAUGGUAACCAGAUAACCCUAGUGAUAUCACAGGCGUUGAUCAAUAACGGGUCGAGUAUGGAUGAAGUGCUUACUUUACGACCGCUUCACAACAAAUGCAUUGACACAGUUUUGGAUUUUACGAGUAUAUAUUUUAUUUGAAUUGAUUGACAAAAAUUUUGGAAGUCGACUGAAUUCACUUUAUGUUGAAAAUACCGUAAACUCUUUUCAUAAUUUUAUAUCAAAUUGCAAGGUGAUUUCAGGGAAUAACCUUUCUCUGGAACUUGAUAUGAUUUGAAUUAACCAUCCCAACAAGAGAUGGUCACAAACACACACACACACACUGGGACCUUUAGAUUGGAGAGGGUCAGUAUAUUUUAAGGAUAUGAAUUUAAGGAAUUGAAUUUUUCACGACCUCUUGAAUAUACAUAAACUGGUUGCAAUAUUCUUUAGUAUGAGUCUUACCCCCUCUCAAAUAUGAGAAGGAGCUGGAAGGAAAUUUAAUGUAUUAAUUUGUUCUGGAAAGGGAAUGGGGAGGGGGUGUCUCAUGCUUCAGAGAGCUGGUUAUGACUGUUCAACAAGCGAAUUUAGAUGCCUUUGCAACAUAAAACGCUGUUAUAGACAAUUUUACUCAGAUAUGACUAAGUUACAUGGGAACAUAGCUUUGCAGUGUCAACAUCCUUAUACGUUUUACCCCUUUAUUGAUGCAAUAGAAAUAUUUGCUUAUGUGUAUCCGAGGUUCUGUUUGAAUACUGAACAAUGUCAUAAACUCGUCGUUAGUCAUCUCAAAAUAUCUCGAAAGCAUUCCAAACAUCAAGUUUCAUCAAGUAACAACCCUCUGAUAUCGUAUCUGAGGAUAUCAGUGGAUUUUACCUUCAGGUUCAUCUGAAUGCAUAUCAUAUAUAAACCUGGAAUGAU